GAUGAACGCUGGCGGCGUGCCUAAUACAUGCAAGUCGAGCGAACAGACGAGGAGCUUGCUCCUCUGACGUUAGCGGCGGACGGGUGAGUAACACGUGGAUAACCUACCUAUAAGACUGGGAUAACUUCGGGAAACCGGAGCUAAUACCGGAUAAUAUAUUGAACCGCAUGGUUCAAUAGUGAAAGACGGUUUUGCUGUCACUUAUAGAUGGAUCCGCGCCGCAUUAGCUAGUUGGUAAGGUAACGGCUUACCAAGGCAACGAUGCGUAGUCGACCUGAGAGGGUGAUCGGCCACACUGGAACUGAGACACGGUCCAGACUCCUACGGGAGGCAGCAGUAGGGAAUCUUCCGCAAAGGGCGAAAGCUUGACGGAGCAACGCCGCGUGAGUGAUGAAGGUCUUCGGAUCGUAAAACUCUGUUAUUAGGGAAGAACAAAUGUGUAAGUAACUAUGCACGUCUUGACGGUACCUAAUCAGAAAGCCACGGCUAACUACGUG
rnacentral:rRNA from 1 species